CCCCAUUUCCCAUCCUCACCCUCACAGGAACAAAUCAUCAGAGUGCCCUCUUCCCAGACGCGGUAACCAGCUGAUUCGUCGCCCAACUCGUCCGUGGAGGUGAGUCUCUCUCGGAGCACGCUGCCCACCGCUUUAUGAUGAUAUUUUUUCUCCAUCUAUCGUGUGCCCCCGGAUCUUUCAUGUCCUCCUUCUUUCUUGAAAAUAAUCGUUCGUGCCUUCGUGUCCAAAGACGUGGUACAGCCGCCGCGUAGCUCAUCAUCAAGGCAUCGACUGACUUGUCUGUCUGCCCCAGGUAAUCCUCUCGCCCCUGCGAGCCCCACAAACUCGUCGAUUGUGCACCAUUCUUAUUACGUUUCCUCCCUUGUUUCUAGUUGUUCGCACCGGAUCUGAUGGAGCACCCGCAACCAGUAACCAUGCCCGGCCAUGGAGUCGAGACCGUCCUCGAUGACCUUCCCGAGUCG
rnacentral:lncRNA from 1 species